rnacentral:rRNA from 1 species
UACGAAGGGGGCUAGCGUUGCUCGGAAUCACUGGGCGUAAAGGGUGCGUAGGCGGGUCUUUAAGUCAGGGUGAAAUCCUGGAGCUCAACUCCAGAACUGCCCUUGAUACUGAAGAUCUUGAGUCCGGGAGAGGUGAGUGGAAUUCGCAGUGUAGAGGUGAAAUUCGUAGAUAUUGAAGAACACCAGUGGCGAAGGCGGCUCACUGGCCA